rnacentral:rRNA from 1 species
UACGGAGGGUGCAAGCGUUGUUCGGAAUCACUGGGCGUAAAGGGCGUGUAGGCGGUCCGCUAAGUCUGAUGUGAAAGCCCGAGGCUUACCCUCGGAAGUGCAUUGGAGACUGGCGGACUGGAGUCCCGGAGAGGAGGGUGGAAUUCCUGGUGUAGCGGUGAAAUGCGUAGAUAUCAGGAGGAACACCGGUGGCGAAGGCGGCCCUCUGGACGGUGACUGACGCUGAGACGCGAAAGCGUGGGGAGCAAACAGG